GUUUCUAUAUGUAGGACAUACGCACGAAGACAUUGAUGCCUCAUUCAGUAAGAUCUCAGAAAAACUUAGAAUGACAGAUGUACAAACAGUUCCCCAAUUACUGAAUCUAGUAAGAAACAUUGAAGAUUUAAGUACACUGAAACUGUGGGAUGUUAAGUCAUGGCUAGAAUCUUCACUAACAAAAGUAAAAGGCGUCAGUGAACCGUUACAUUUUAAAAUUACGAAAACAUCUGGAAAAAUAAAGGUUGUUUAUAAAGGGCAACAGCAUCAGUUAUGGACCGUGUUAGAUGGCAGAGGUACUUUUCUCAGAAAUCUACCAACUUCAAAAAUAAAACAGUUAAAACCAAACUAUAAAAACAUUCUAGAAAAAAUUGAGACAAUUAAAAAACAAAUCAGUGCAAUUAGUUACAUGUUUGAAAGCAGUGAAGAUCAUCUUUGGUGGAAAGCUUUUUUGGAGAAAAUAAAUACAGUGAUGCCAAUGAGAACAAAAGAGGACAUUAUAUGGAUUACCCUACUACCAAAACAGCAAAACACAACAACAAAGAAACAGUAAAGACAACCUAGAUCCAAUACUUAGAAAGAUGUUGGAAAAGGAAACAAGUAGACCUGUGUUAUCCUGUGAAAAAAGACGAAAUUUAAAAACCAGCCGAGGGAAGCAGAAGUCAAAACAACAGAGCGUAUCCAAGGAGGAAGAAGUGGUGUUAACCGUCAAAGCACUGUAGUACAUGUCAAUA
rnacentral:lncRNA from 1 species